rnacentral:piRNA from 1 species
UUUAAAUGAAUUAUUGUAAUU